CCUAUGGCCUUGUAGAGUGAGAGGACAGUGACUGGGAUCAUAGCUAGGUAGGAAGCUUCCUUUCAGAGGUCAAGCUAAAAAGAAAGAGCCUGAGAAUCCUGAGGAAGACGCACUUGAGGUGGACCAUCUUCCUGAACCUGGUGAAGAAAAUAUUUCCCGGGUUAGGUAAACCGAUAGAACCUCAAAUACAAGUUUCUGCAGAUCCUGAUUGAGUCCUGAGUGAGCCAUGUCACUGUGAGAACAUUCUGAACACUUAUAUCAUGUGUUCAGUCACUUCGUAACAUCAUACAAUAUUGUUUGUGUACAUAAUUGUGAAUUUUUGUUAACAA